rnacentral:tRNA from 1 species
GGCUGGAUAGCUCAGUUGGUAGAGCACCGAAACGGUAAUCCGGAGGUCGCAGGUUCAAACCCUGCUCCAGUCA